ACUCCUGCCUGGAUGGCAGCUGUUGGGCCUGUUUAGUUUCUCUCUUUGAAUUUUUUUGAUUAUUUAAAUUAAAAUUAUUGUUUAACCAAGUUCUUUACCGUGUGGUCUCCCCUUUUUUGUUAUGACUUUAAUGUGCGGUCAUAACAAAUGGGGGCCUAUUUUUGGACCUAGUUUUUGUAGUUUUGGAUUUGACAUUGUUUUGUCUAAAACAAAUACCCUAGACUUAAAUUCUGAGGCAUAGUUUUUGCAGGGGGUCAGUUGUUGGGAGACACACGGUAAUUGUUUUUUGGUUUAUGCUUUAUUUGGUUAAUAUUUGGUAAAUUUUUUUUUGUUGUUGCAAAUUGAAGAAGUGAAAUACAGGGAAACACCAAGGUGAUAAUCACCUCUAUAAUUCUACUGUCAGAGUCUUCUGCAUUUGGCGGCUUGCUAUAUCUUUACCCCUGCCCUCUGGAGACUGCUGGUGACAUCACUGACCGUAGUUUUAGGGUUCUCCUUCACAGCUCU